ACUGGGGUCCUGGUGACGCAGCUGCCCGCGUUCGCAAAGUAUGUCCCUAAGGCACUGAUUGGGUCGGUAACCCAUGGGUUACCCAUCUUCAACCCCCGGUAGCCCAUUGGUAACCCCCUUGUAAGUUCCUACCCAGCAGGAGGGGUAACACGGCCCCAGGGUAAACCCCUCCGUUGCCCUGGACUAUGGACGUAUGUAGGCUACUCGUCUUAUAUGCUUCCCAC
rnacentral:lncRNA from 1 species